UCCUGGGAUAACACUGACGUUCAUGCCCGAAAGCGUGGGUAGCAAACAGGAUUAGAUACCCUGGUAGUCCACGCCCUAAACGAUGUCGAUUAGCUGUUGGGCAGCAUGACUGCUUAGUAGCGAAGCUAACGCGUGAAAUCGACCGCCUGGGGAGUACGGUCGCAAGAUUAAAACUCAAAGGAAUUGACGGGGACCCGCACAAGCGGUGGAUGAUGUGGAUUAAUUCGAUGCAACGCGAAGAACCUUACCUGGUCUUGACAUGUACGGAACCCUCCAGAGACGGAGGGGUGCCUUCGGGAGCCGUAACACAGGUGCUGCAUGGCUGUCGUCAGCUCGUGUCGUGAGAUGUUGGGUUAAGUCCCGCAACGAGCGCAACCCUUGUCAUUAGUUGCCAUCAUUAAGUUGGGCACUCUAAUGAGACUGCCGGUGACAAGCCGGAGGAAGGUGGGGAUGACGUCAAGUCCUCAUGGCCCUUAUGACCAGGGCUUCACACGUCAUACAAUGGUCGGUACAGAGGGUAGCCAAGCCGCGAGGUGGAGCCAAUCUCACAAAACCGAUCGUAGUCCGGAUUGCACUCUGCAACUCGAGUGCAUGAAGUCGGAAUCGCUAGUAAUCGCAGGUCAGCAUACUGCGGUGAAUACGUUCCCGGGUCUUGUACACACCGCCCGUCACACCAUGGGGGUGGGGGAUACCAGAAGUAGGUAGGGUAACCGCAAGGAGCCCGCUUACCACGGUAUGCUUCAUGACUGGGGUGAAGUCGUAACAAGGUAGCCGUAGGGGAACC
rnacentral:rRNA from 1 species